rnacentral:rRNA from 1 species
AAAUUGAAGAGUUUGAUCAUGGCUCAGAUUGAACGCUGGCGGCAGGCCUAACACAUGCAAGUCGAGCGGUAGCACAGAGAGCUUGCUCUCGGGUGACGAGCGGCGGACGGGUGAGUAAUGUCUGGGAAACUGCCUGAUGGAGGGGGAUAACUACUGGAAACGGUAGCUAAUACCGCAUAACGUCGCAAGACCAAAGUGGGGGACCUUCGGGCCUCAUGCCAUCAGAUGUGCCCAGAUGGGAUUAGCUAGUAGGUGGGGUAACGGCUCACCUAGGCGACGAUCCCUAGCUGGUCUGAGAGGAUGACCAGCCACACUGGAACUGAGACACGGUCCAGACUCCUACGGGAGGCAGCAGUGGGGAAUAUUGCACAAUGGGCGCAAGCCUGAUGCAGCCAUGCCGCGUGUGUGAAGAAGGCCUUCGGGUUGUAAAGCACUUUCAGCGGGGAGGAAGGCGUUAAGGUUAAUAACCUUGGCGAUUGACGUUACCCGCAGAAGAAGCACCGGCUAACUCCGUGCCAGCAGCCGCGGUAAUACGGAGGGUGCAAGCGUUAAUCGGAAUUACUGGGCGUAAAGCGCACGCAGGCGGUCUGUCAAGUCGGAUGUGAAAUCCCCGGGCUCAACCUGGGAACUGCAUUCGAAACUGGCAGGCUAGAGUCUUGUAGAGGGGGGGUAGAAUUCCGGGUGUAGCGGUGAAAUGCGUAGAGAUCUGGAGGAAUACCGGUGGCGAAGGCGGCCCCCUGGACAAAGACUGACGCUCAGGUGCGAAAGCGUGGGGAGCAAACAGGAUUAGAUACCCUGGUAGUCCACGCCGUAAACGAUGUCGAUUUGGAGGUUGUGCCCUUGAGGCGUGGCUUCCGGAGCUAACGCGUUAAAUCGACCGCACGGGGAGUACGGCCGCAAGGUUAAAACUCAAAUGAAUUGACGGGGGCCGCACAAGCGGUGGAGCAUGUGGUUUAAUUCGAUGCAACGCGAAGAACCUUACCUGGUCUUGACAUCCACAGAACUUUCCAGAGAUGGAUUGGUGCCUUCGGGAACUGUGAGACAGGUGCUGCAUGGCUGUCGUCAGCUCGUGUUGUGAAAUGUUGGGUUAAGUCCCGCAACGAGCGCAACCCUUAUCCUUUGUUGCCAGCGGUUAGGCCGGGAACUCAAAGGAGACUGCCAGUGAUAAACUGGAGGAAGGUGGGGAUGACGUCAAGUCAUCAUGGCCCUUACGACCAGGGCUACACACGUGCUACAAUGGCAUAUACAAAGAGAAGCGACCUCGCGAGAGCAAGCGGACCUCAUAAAGUAUGUCGUAGUCCGGAUUGGAGUCUGCAACUCGACUCCAUGAAGUCGGAAUCGCUAGUAAUCGUAGAUCAGAAUGCUACGGUGAAUACGUUCCCGGGCCUUGUACACACCGCCCGUCACACCAUGGGAGUGGGUUGCAAAAGAAGUAGGUAGCUUAACCUUCGGGAGGGCGCUUACCACUUUGUGAUUCAUGACUGGGGUGAAGUCGUAACAAGGUAACCGUAGGGGAACCUGCGGUUGGAUCACCUCCUUACCUUAAAGAA